AGGGUGAGCGAGGGGAGUGUGGGACACCAGGAGUCAAGGGAGACAGAGGUCCGGAGGGUCCCAUUGGUAUCAGAGGAAGCAGAGGGCUGCAGGGUUUGCAUGGACCUAAUGGAGACAUUGGACCCGAAGGUCCAACGGGCAAAAAAG